CCUACGGGAGGCAGCAGUGAGGAAUAUUGGUCAAUGGACGAGAGUCUGAACCAGCCAAGUAGCGUGAAGGAUGACUGCCCUAUGGGUUGUAAACUUCUUUUAUAUGGGAAUAAAACGUUCCACGUGUGGGAUUUUGUAUGUACCAUAUGAAUAAGGAUCGGCUAACUCCGUGCCAGCAGCCGCGGUAAUACGGAGGAUCCGAGCGUUAUCCGGAUUUAUUGGGUUUAAAGGGAGCGUAGGUGGAUUGUUAAGUCAGUUGUGAAAGUUUGAGGCUCAACCGUAAAUUGCAGUUGAAACUGGCAGUCUUGAGUACAGUAGAGGUGGGCGGAAUUCGUGGUGUAGCGGUGAAAUGCUUAGAUAUCACGAAGAACUCCGAUUGCGAAGGCAGUUCACUGGACUGCAACUGACACUGAGGCUCGAAAGUGUGGGUAUCAAACAGGAUUAGAUACCCGUGUAGUC
rnacentral:rRNA from 1 species